rnacentral:rRNA from 1 species
AUUGAACGCUGGCGGCAGGCUUAACACAUGCAAGUCGAGCGGGGGAAGGUAGCUUGCUACCGGACCUAGCGGCGGACGGGUGAGUAAUGCUUAGGAAUCUGCCUAUUAGUGGGGGACAACAUCUCGAAAGGGAUGCUAAUACCGCAUACGUCCUACGGGAGAAAGCGGGGGAUCUUCGGACCUUGCGCUAAUAGAUGAGCCUAAGUCGGAUUAGCUAGUUGGUGGGGUGAAGGCCUACCAAGGCGACGAUCUGUAGCGGGUCUGAGAGGAUGAUCCGACACACUGGGACUGAGACACGGCCCAGACUCCUACGGGAGGCAGCAGUGGGGAAUAUUGGACAAUGGGGGGAACCCUGAUCCAGCCAUGCCGCAUGUGUGAAGAAGGCCUUAUGGUUGUAAAGCACUUUAAGCGAGGAGGAGGCUACUCUAGUUAAUACCUAGGGAUAGUGGACGUUACUCGCAGAAUAAGCACCGGCUAACUCUGUGCCAGCCGCCGCCGUAA